AAUAGAUACCCCGGUAGUCCACGCCGUAAACGAUGAGUGCUAAGUGUUAGGGGGUUUCCGCCCCUUAGUGCUGCAGCUAACGCAUUAAGCACUCCGCCUGGGGAGUACGGUCGCAAGACUGAAACUCAAAGGAAUUGACGGGGGCCCGCACAAGCGGUGGAGCAUGUGGUUUAAUUCGAAGCAACGCGAAGAACCUUACCAGGUCUUGACAUCCCGUUGACCACUGUAGAGAUAUAGUUUCCCCUUCGGGGGCAACGGUGACAGGUGGUGCAUGGUUGUCGUCAGCUCGUGUCGUGAGAUGUUGGGCUAAGUCCCGCAACGAGCGCAACCCUUGAUCUUAGUUGCCAUCAUUUAGUUGGGCACUCUAAGGUGACUGCCGGUGACAAACCGGAGGAAGGUGGGGAUGACGUCAAAUCAUCAUGCCCCCUUAUGACCUGGGCUACACACGUGCUACAAUGGACGAUACAAACGGUUGCCAACUCGCGAGAGGGAGCUAAUCCGAUAAAGUCGCUCUCAGUUCGGAUUGUAGGCUGCAACUCG
rnacentral:rRNA from 1 species